rnacentral:rRNA from 1 species
GAUCGGGUCAGGUGGUCGCGACAAUGUAGUGUACUGCCGGCCUGAUCUUUCCUUCUGGGGAACUAGUGUGCCCUUUAUUGGUUUGUGUGCUAGGGAUCCAGGACUUUUACUUUGAAAAAAUUAGAGUGUUCAAAGCAGGCAUUUGCUUGAAUACAUUAGCAUGGAAUAAUAGAAUAGGACUUUGGUUCUAUUUUGUUGGUUUCUAGGACCGAAGUA